UACGGGGGGGGGCAAGCGUUGUUCGGAAUUACUGGGCGUAAAGGGCUCGUAGGCGGCCAACUAAGUCAGACGUGAAAUCCCUCGGCUUAACCGGGGAACUGCGUCUGAUACUGGAUGGCUUGAGUUGGGAGAGGGAUGCGGAAUUCCAGGUGUAGCGGUGAAAUGCGUAGAUAUCUGGAGGAACACCGGUGGCGAAGGCGGCAUCCUGGACCAAUCUGACGCUGAGGAGCGAAAGGCCAGGGGAGCAAACGGGG
rnacentral:rRNA from 1 species